GACGAACGCUGGCGGCGUGCUUAACACAUGCAAGUCGAACGGAAAGGCCCUGCUUUUGUGGGGUGCUCGAGUGGCGAACGGGUGAGUAACACGUGAGUAACCUGCCCUUGACUUUGGGAUAACGUCAGGAAACUGGGGCUAAUACCGGAUAGGAGCUCCUGCUGCAUGGUGGGGGUUGGAAAGUUUCGGCGGUUGGGGAUGGACUCGCGGCUUAUCAGCUUGUUGGUGGGGUAGUGGCUUACCAAGGCUUUGACGGGUAGCCGGCCUGAGAGGGUGACCGGCCACAUUGGGACUGAGGUACGGCCCAGACUCCUACGGGAGGCAGCAGUGGGGAAUAUUGCACUAUGGGCCGAAGCCUGAUGCAGCAACGCCGCGUGCCGGAUGGCGGCCUUCGGGUUGUAAUCCGCUUUCGCCUGUGACGAAGCGUGCGUGACGGUAAUGGGUAAAGACGCACCGGCUAACUACGUG
rnacentral:rRNA from 1 species